ACCAUGAGAGUUGGAAAUACCCGAAGCCUGUGAGCUAACUUUUAGAGGCAGCAGUCGAAGGUAGAGCCAAUGAUUGGGGUGAAGUCGUAACAAGGUACC
rnacentral:rRNA from 1 species